GACCUGAUGGCACAAUGGUUAGUGCUUCUGCUUGACUUAGCACAUGAAUCGUACGGUUAGCAGAAGAUCCCUGUUCGAUUCGGGGUCAGGUCA